CACGUAGGGGGCGAGCGUUGUCCGGAUUUAUUGGGCGUAAAGAGCUCGUAGGCGGCUCGGUAAGUCGGAUGUGAAAUCCCCAGGCUUAACCUGGGAACUGCAUCCGAUACUGGAUGGCUUGAAUUCGGGAGAGGGAUGCAGAAUUCCAGGUGUAGCGGUGAAAUGCGCAGAUAUCGGGAAGAACACCCGUGGCGAAGGCGGUUCUCUGGGACGGUACUGACGCUGAGACGCGAAAGCGUGGGGAGCGAACAGG
rnacentral:rRNA from 1 species